rnacentral:misc_RNA from 1 species
AAGUCGUAACAAGGUCUCCGUAGGUGAACCUGCGGAGGGAUCAUUACCGAGUUCAUGCCCUUACGGGUAGAUCUCCCACCCUAUGUUAUUAUUACCUUUGUUGCUUUGGCGGGCCGCUAGAUUUCGGUCAGGCUACCGGCUCCGGCUGGUAAGCGCCCGCCAGAGGACCCCAAACCCUGAUUAUGAGUGUCGUCUGAGUACUAUAUAAUAGUUAAAACUUUCAACAACGGAUCUCUUGGUUCUG